AUGAAUAAAACCCCAAGUGAUAUAGAUCCACCAUGGCACCCGGGGGGAUACGAGGUGAUACAGUUUCGCUGUGACGCAGGUCAAACCUUGCCACUGGGACCGUAUGGGUGCCACGCAGGCGCACUUGGGCAGACAGCAGAGCUGGUCGACAGGUAUCUGAGUGGACCGACUGUAGCAACGCAACUAGCACAGACCGGACAGGCUCGGAACACCGCAUCAAAUAGAGGCUCUUCACACGAGACAUUUUAAUAUGUGAGAGAAGUGCCAUACCUGGUGGAGAGAGGCUGUACAGCACACGUGUGGCAUAGUGCGUGUCAUACGUUACAUCGUGAUACGUCACAAUGUACAGC
rnacentral:lncRNA from 13 species